UACGAAGGGGGGCUAGCGUUGCUCGGAAUGACUGGGCGUAAAGGGCGCGUAGGCGGUUCGUACAGUCAGACGUGAAAUUCCCGGGCUCAACCUGGGGGGCUGCGUUUGAUACGUGCGGGGCUUGAGUUCGGAAGAGGGUCGUGGAAUUCCCAGUGUAGAGGUGAAAUUCGUAGCUAUUGGGAAGAACACCGGUGGCGAAGGCGGCGCCUGGUCCGAUACUGACGCUGAGGCGCGAAAGCGUGGGGGAGCAAACAGG
rnacentral:rRNA from 1 species